GGGUUUGAUUAUGGCUCAGAUUGAACGCUGGCAGGAUGCUUUACACAUGCAAGUCAGGAACGGCAGCACGGACUUCGAUGCAAUUGCGAGUGGCGAACGGGCGAGUGUAUCGGAACGUGCCUGGUAGCGGGGGGGAUAACUGCGCGAAAGCGUAGCUAAUACCGCAUACGCCCUUCGGGGGAAAGCGGGGGACCUUCGGGCCUCGCACUAUUAGAGCGGCCGAUAUCGGAUUAGCUAGUUGGUGGGGUAACGGCUCGCAAGGCCGACGAUCGUGGCUGUUUGAGAGGACGACCAGCCACACUGGGACUGAGACACGGCCCAGACUCCUACGGGAGGCGGCAGUGGGGAAUUUUGGACAAUGGGGAACCCUGAUCCAGCCAUCCGCGUGUGCGAUGAAGGCCUUCGGGUUGUAAAGCACUUUUGGCAGGAAAGAAACGGCACGGGAUAAUACCCCGUGCAACUGACAAUACCUGCAGAAUAAGCACCGGCUAACUACGUGCCAGUAGCCGCGGUAAUACGUAGAGUGCAAGCGUUAAUCGGAAUUACUGGGCGUAAAGGAUGCGCAGGCGGUUCGGAGAGAAAGAUGUGAAAUUUGGAACUGCAUUUUUAACUACCGAGCUAGAGUGCUGCGUCAGGGAGGUGGAAUUCCGCGUGUAGCGAUGAAAUGCGUAGAUAUGCGGAGGAACACCGAUAGCGAAGGCAGCCUCCUGGGAUAACACUGACGCUCAUGCACGAAAGCGUGGGGGCAAACAGGAUUAGAUGCCUGGUCCACGCCCUAAACGAUGUCAACUAGCUGUUGGGGCCUUCGGGCAUAUUAUGCAACCCAACAGCGUGAAGGAUUGACCGCCGAUACAGUCGCAAGAUUAAAACUCAAAGGAAUUGACGGGGACCCGCACAAGCGAGCGGAUGAUGUGGAUUAAUUCGAUGCAACGCGAAAAACCUUACCUAUACCCUUGACAUGUCUGGAAUCCCGAAAGAGAGAGAUUUGGGAGUGCUCGCAAGAGAACCGGAACACAGGUGCUGCAUGGCUGUCGUCAGCUCGAUGUCGUGAGAUGUUGGGUUAAGUCCGCAACGAAGCGCAACCCUUGUCAUUAGAUUUGCUGAAAGGGCACUCUAAUGAGACUGCCGGUGACAAACCGGAGGAAGGUGGGGAUGACGUCGAAGUCCUCGCUAGCCCCCUUAUGGGUAGGGCUUCACACGUCAUACAAUGGUCGGGACAAGAGGGUCGCCAACCCGCGAAGGGGAGCCAGUCCAGAAACUGAUCACGUAGUCGAAGGAUCGCUGAUCUGCAACUCGGCGCGUGAAGUCGGAAUCGCUAGUAAUCGCGGAUCAGCAUGUCGCGGUGAAUACGUUCCCGGGUCUUGUACACACCGCCCGUCACACCAUGGGAGUGGGUUUUUACCAGAAGUAGUUAGCCUAACCGUAAGGAGGGCGAUUACCACGGUAGGAUUCAUGACUGGGGUGAAGUCGUAACAAGGUAA
rnacentral:rRNA from 1 species